CACAGUUCCAGUUGCAGAAGUCUUCUUGAGCCCAACCAGAAAACUGUCUGACAGAGAAGUUCUUCAUAGAAAUUAGCAGUGUUUUAAGAAAUCUCUGAUGAGCAUAUCAAAAAGACAAAUGGACAUCUGAAAGUAUGAAACUGCUGUAAAGCCAAGACUUCAUGUACUUAUUUAGAAGAUGAAAAGUGAAUCUGAGAAUGAGAGUACCACUGCAAGUCACCAGUUCAUAAAUUACUUCUAUUCAACCUGAAGAAAGAGUUGUGAAGGACAGCCACCUUACAAUCCCAGAAAAGCCUUACCUGAAGAGCAUGUGGCUAUUUCUCACACAUUUUUAAAGAAUGGUUCUCAAAAUAAGCCAAGAAAUGCCAUAGGCCAUCUCAUAUGUGUACGCUCUAAUAAAUUUUAUCAGAUACUUCAAAUGUAGUAUUCAGUGACGGGGAUAGAAGUGUUAAGAAAGGUAAAGCUGGAAAGGAGAACAACACAGCAGCAACACAUAUUCUGAUUUACCUGCCCUUCAUAUGCCCUGUGGGAAUAUCUCCAAUGAAAACUCUACUAUGCACGAAGCAAGCAAACAACUGCACCUGUUCUACAACCAACAAGGAUCAGAAUGCAAAUUUUCCAACAAUGCACAUAAAUAAAAGUUCCAUCACUGAAAGAAAGUGCUUAUUC